UUCGGGGCGCCCCAGCUCACGCGGGGCCCACAGGCGUCCGCGCUACAAGCCCUCCCUCCCCGCCCCGCGCAUAGAGGCCUGACGGGCAACUUGGGGGUUCCCCUAAGAUGCCUCCUGCCCUAGGCCCAUUUGUUCCGUCUCCUGACUCAGCAACUGUUCCACCACCUGAGGCCAAGUGGCUGUUCUUAAGCUUGAAGACCAGAGACAAGUGGACAUGAUUCCCCAAAUGGGCAGCAGGUUAAAAUCAGAAUGAGUUCAGCCACAAGAAACAUUGGUGGAGAGAGAAGAGCUUUAGAAAAGUUCUGGGACUUGAGGAAAAGAGAUGACAGAGAAAGACCUCCAUAGAGAAUGAGAGCAUCAGUCAACCACAAAGCACAAGGCACAGAGGCUGUCCUCAGAACAAUGGAGUCCAUGAAGGGAAUCCCUGUGGCUUCGAAAGGGUGAUAUCUGACACUGCACACACACUGAGGAAAGGACAUGUGAGCACACAGCAAGAAGACCAUUUGCAAGCCAGGAAGAGGGCUCUCACAAGAUCCCAAUCAUGCUGGCGCUCUGAUCUCUUCCAACCUCUCGAACUGUGAGAAAAUAAAUCUCUAUUGUAUCGCCACCCAGUCUAUGGUGUUAUGGUAGUGAAAACAGAUGAAGACAGGUGCUCCCAUGCAUUUGGGCUACUUUAAAAAGGAAAUUUAUUAGACUGUGAAGCUUGAGGCCAGUAAUGGGUGAGAUGAUACUGGAGAUGUAAGGACAUUAGAAAGAGGAGAAAAGAAGGGGAGAGGAAAUAGAAAGACAUCACUCCCCAUAGAAUCUUUGGAUCAGGAGGAAAGGGAUCAUUUCUAGGGCUCCUGGCAGCACAUUAUGAAUUUUGGCAUCCAUAGAAGGGAACCCUUAGCAUCCCCCACUUCCUUAUCAUUCUGCAUGGUGCAUGCAGAAGGGUCAACUUCAUUCCAUUGAGCUGGUUUCCCAGACCCACUGGAAUUCUGAUUCACUUCCACCUUGGCUCCAUAACACAAAGAAACUGGAGAAUUUAGGAAUACUUCUCUUGGCCUUCAACCCGUGACCAUAGUGUUCCAACAGCUGUUGCAAAAUGUGAUGGCAGAGAAUGAAGCUAAUACUGAAAACUCAAAAUAAUUGGCAUUAUUAGGAUAAUAAAAAUGCAGCAGCUUAAAAUCUCUA